UAUCUCUGUAGAGUCUGCAUAUCAAUAAGCGGAGGAAAAGAAACUAACAAGGAUUCCCUUAGUAACGGCGAGUGAAGCGGGAAGAGCUCAAAUUUGAAAUCUUCAAGGUUUUACCUUGACGAAUUGUAGUUUAAAGAAGUGUUUUCUGUUGAAGUUUCGGUAAAAGUUCUUUGGAAUAGGACAUCAUAGAGGGUGAGAAUCCCGUAUUUGACCGUUACUUUCAGCUGUGUGAUACACUUUCAAAGAGUCGGAUUGUUUGGGAAUGCAGUCCAAAAUGGGUGGUAAAUUUCAUCUAAAGCUAAAUAUUGGCGAGAGACCGAUAGCGAACAAGUACCGUGAGGGAAAGAUGAAAAGAACUUUGAAAAGAGAGUUAAACAGUACGUGAAAUUGUCAAAAGGGAAGCGUUUGACACCAGUGUUGUUUUCUCGAAAAUCAAUUAAAAAUGGCUUGAUUUUGUGUUGUAUUGACCUUAAAAGCUUUCUUCACUUUUUUCAUGUCUUUUUUAAUGCACUUUUCGUUUAACAAGUCAACAUCAGUUUCUUUUGUUGUAAAAAGGUCAUUGGAAGGUGGCUUUCUUUUCGGAGAAAGUGUUUAUAGCCUUUGACUCCUGCAAUCGGAGAGACUGAGGUCUGCAGCGUAGAUCCUUCUUGGAUUAGAUUCAUUUGUGCUAAGUUAUAGCUUUUCAUAGACAACUUGUUGACUAUAGUUUAGUCUUGUAGCUUACUCGCUUAUGCUAAUUUUACCUACGCUUAGGAUGUUGAUCUCUCACAGUCGAGC
rnacentral:rRNA from 1 species